rnacentral:lncRNA from 1 species
CUCUGGGGAGCCGGGCUCUGGGCACUGGCGAAGGUGUACCGGGGGCGGCGGCCGAGCGGCCAAGGACACCUGCAGGCUUCCCGGGCCGCGCGGAGAGGGAGCCUCAGCGCAACGCCCCGGCGCCUGGUUCCUGCGAUCUGGCGGCGCUGGGAGCCACGCCAUCUACGCGUCUGCCCAUCUCCGGGCGGGGCGCCGGCCUUGGCUCGCGCGCGGCAGGGGGCGGGCGCGAGGUGGCAUAGGGGAGGGGGCGCCUCGGCGCCGGUGGGCUGGGGCCCUAGGGGCUCAUGGUCUCCCUCCGGCGCUGGCAGCGGCCGCCACGCCCCAGUGGCGCCUUUUCCUCCGGGGCCCCGCCUCGCCCAGACGCGCCCUUCGCGGGGCGGGGUGGGCGGGGCGCGGCGCAGCGCGGGGCCGAUCCGACUCACUGCAGGCCCUGGCGACCGAGCGCAGUCUUCCUCCCCGGAGCCGAGCCCCAACCAAGCGCGUCACCUCCUCGCCGCCAGUGCCCAGCCCAGCGCGCCGCCCCUGCGCGCUUCCGCCGGCAACCCCUCCCGCCCCCCUCAGCCCUGCUCCGCGCCUCCCCCGGGCCCGCAGCUCCUCCCACCGCAGCCCGCUGACACCGAAGCGCUCUCGACCCCUGACCUCUAACCUCCGCCCGGCUCUUCUUGCUUCGUCCCUCGCCCCCUCCCCGCCAAGCUGGUCGCACUGUUGCCGUUUCACUGCGGCUGACGGAAGGCCAAGGAAGAAAGAGGGUAGAGACGCUGUCGCGAGGAUCAGGCUGCCCUCUCCUUUCCCAGGGACCGUGUUGGGGCCUUCUGACCACCCCGCCCCGCAUCCUGCGCCUCGGAGGCCCAACGUAGCCCAAGACACCCAUGGUCUUGAUGCUCUCCGCCUCUGUCCCAGCCACCAAAGUCCCCGCGAUGGAAUGGAGGACGGGGUGGCCUUGGGCAGAGAAGCGCUUCUUGUGCCGGAUGGAAGGAAACCGUAGCUCUGGCUGUGUUCAUCGCGAAAUGUUUUAUGGAUGUGGAGUGGGUGGGUGGCCCUGAAAAGUCAUUAGUUAAAGCCUUUGCUCGUCAUUGCUCUGGGGUCCACAUAGGAAAUGCCCGUGUCCUGCCUCAUGACCCCUUCCUGUUUCUACUCUUAUUCUACCCAUUACAAUUUGACUUUGCCUGUGUAUAUGUCUCCUCUCCCCUCCCUAACCCUGAGCUUCAGGCAGCCUCCAUGCCUGUCUGGAUGAUGUAAAGAGAUCUUGAGGCAGAAAUGAAAGGUGAAUGACACACCUGCCCUGGACACCUGUGCACCUUCCCAGUUCCAGAUCAGGCAGUACCUAGCUCAACUGAGAAAAACAAGACAAGGGCCUAUGUGUGUCUCAGGAAAGGUUAAAAGCUCAGUGCCAAUGCAAGGGAUUUUUACAAGCAAAAGUCUCAUUAUUAAUGAGGCCAGAAAACCAAAAUGACAAUGAUCUUUGAUGAUCUGUACUGACACGCAGGGGAGGUGAGUUAAUCAGAAACACACAUUUACUGGCACCCCCUUUGUGCCCAGUCCCUGCUCCUCGAAACUGAUGUUUGUAUUUCAGAGUUUAGCUGUCUUUGAGUUUGCUGCAGUGAAAAGAAAUAUCCCAAGUGUGACUGGGAAGAGAAGACCCGGGACAGGCCAGAAACUGGAGUGAGGAAGAAAGAACCACAGAAUAUUAAUGUAAUGAAUAACUUUCAAGUCCUAUCUGGUCCGUGUCCUGGCAAAGUCCCUUGGGGUCUCUCCCCUGCUUUCCGUUCAUCAGGAUGACUGAGCUCAGUAAUUGUAACAAAGGGAGUGUAGUAGGCAAGGGGACAAAACCCAUAGUAUCCCACCCCUGAUUGACUUAUUAACUCAAUGAACACUUAUUGAAUACCUACGAUAUGCCAGAAGCAGUUCCGGGUACUGGAAAUACAUCAGUGAAUAAAACAGCCACUCAUCCUAGUAAAUCUGCCCAACUGGUGCUUCCACUCUGCGGUGCUUGUGGAUAGUGA